GGGUUGUGAGGUUAAGCGACUAAGCGUACACGGUGGAUGCCCAGGCAGUCAGAGGCGAUGAAGGGCGUGCUAAUCUGCGAUAAGCGUCGGUAAGGUGAUAUGAACCGCAACAACCGACGAUACCCGAAUGGGGAAACCCAGUGCAAUCCGUUGCACUAUCAUGUCAUGAAUACAUAGUGGCAUGAGGCGAACCGGGGGAACUGAAACAUCUAAGUACCCCGAGGAAAAGAAAUCAACCGAGAUUCCCCCAGUAGCGGCGAGCGAACGGGGAACAGCCCAGAACCUGAAUCAGUUUGUGCCUUAGUGGAAGCGUCUGGAAAGUCGCGCAGUAAAGGGUGACAGCCCCGUACACAAAAAGGCACUUGCUGUGAGUUCGAUGAGUAGGGCGGGACACGUGACAUCCUGUCUGAAUAUGGGGGGACCAUCCUCCAAGGCUAAAUACUCCUGACUGACCGAUAGUGAACCAGUACCGUGAGGGAAAGGCGAAAAGAACCCCGGCGAGGGGAGUGAAACAGAACCUGAAACCGUGUACGUACAAGCAGUGGGAGCACCUUCGUGGUGUGACUGCGUACCUUUUGUAUAAUGGGUCAGCGACUUAUAUUCUGUAGCAAGGUUAACCGUAUAGGGGAGCCGCAGGGAAACCGAGUCUUAACUGGGCGUUAAGUUGCAGGGUAUAGACCCGAAACCCGGUGAUCUAGCCAUGGGCAGGUUGAAGGUUGGGUAACACUAACUGGAGGACCGAACCGACUAAUGUUGAAAAAUUAGCGGAUGACCUGUGGCUGGGGGUGAAAGGCCAAUCAAACCGGGAGAUAGCUGGUUCUCCCCGAAAGCUAUUUAGGUAGCGCCUCGUGAACUCAUCUCCGGGGGUAGAGCACUGUUUCGGCUAGGGGGCCAUCCCGGCUUACCAACCCGAUGCAAACUGCGAAUACCGGAGAAUGUUAUCACGGGAGACACACGGCGGGUGCUAACGUCCGUCGUGAAGAGGGAAACAACCCAGACCGCCAGCUAAGGUCCCAAAGUCAUGGUUAAGUGGGAAACGAUGUGGGAAGGCACAGACAGCCAGGAUGUUGGCUUAGAAGCAGCCAUCAUUUAAAGAAAGCGUAAUAGCUCACUGGUCGAGUCGGCCUGCGCGGAAGAUGUAACGGGGCUAAACCAUGCACCGAAGCUGCGGCAGCGGCGCGAAUGCGUUGUUGGGUAGGGGAGCGUUCUGUAAGCCGUCGAAGGUGUGCUGUGAGGCAUGCUGGAGGUAUCAGAAGUGCGAAUGCUGACAUAAGUAACGAUAAAGCGGGUGAAAAGCCCGCUCGCCGGAAGACCAAGGGUUCCUGUCCAACGUUAAUCGGGGCAGGGUGAGUCGACCCCUAAGGCGAGGCCGAAAGGCGUAGUCGAUGGGAAACGGGUUAAUAUUCCCGUACUGGGUGUUACUGCGAAGGGGGGACGGAGAAGGCUAUGUUAGCCGGGCGACGGUUGUCCCGGUUUAAGCGUGCAGGCUUGAGUUCCAGGCAAAUCCGGAACUCUUUAAGGCUGAGGCGUGAUGACGAGGCACCACGGUGCUGAAGUAACAAAUGCCCUGCUUCCAGGAAAAGCCUCUAAGCAUCAGGUAACAUCCAAUCGUACCCCAAACCGACACAGGUGGUCAGGUAGAGAAUACCAAGGCGCUUGAGAGAACUCGGGUGAAGGAACUAGGCAAAAUGGUGCCGUAACUUCGGGAGAAGGCACGCUGGCGCGUAGGUGAAGCGACUUGCUCGUGGAGCUGAAGCCAGUCGAAGAUACCAGCUGGCUGCAACUGUUUAUUAAAAACACAGCACUGUGCAAACACGAAAGUGGACGUAUACGGUGUGACGCCUGCCCGGUGCCGGAAGGUUAAUUGAUGGGGUUAUCCGCAAGGAGAAGCUCUUGAUCGAAGCCCCGGUAAACGGCGGCCGUAACUAUAACGGUCCUAAGGUAGCGAAAUUCCUUGUCGGGUAAGUUCCGACCUGCACGAAUGGCGUAAUGAUGGCCAGGCUGUCUCCACCCGAGACUCAGUGAAAUUGAACUCGCUGUGAAGAUGCAGUGUACCCGCGGCAAGACGGAAAGACCCCGUGAACCUUUACUACAGCUUGACACUGAACAUUGAGCCUUGAUGUGUAGGAUAGGUGGGAGGCUUUGAAGCGUGGACGCCAGUCUGCGUGGAGCCAACCUUGAAAUACCACCCUUUAACGUUUGAUGUUCUAACCUGGCGCCGUUACCCGGCGUGGGGACAGUGUCUGGUGGGUAGUUUGACUGGGGCGGUCUCCUCCCAAAGAGUAACGGAGGAGCACGAAGGUCAGCUAAUCACGGUCGGACAUCGUGAGGUUAGUGCAAUGGCAUAAGCUGGCUUGACUGCGAGAGUGACGGCUCGAGCAGGUGCGAAAGCAGGUCAUAGUGAUCCGGUGGUUCUGAAUGGAAGGGCCAUCGCUCAACGGAUAAAAGGUACUCCGGGGAUAACAGGCUGAUACCGCCCAAGAGUUCAUAUCGACGGCGGUGUUUGGCACCUCGAUGUCGGCUCAUCACAUCCUGGGGCUGAAGUAGGUCCCAAGGGUACGGCUGUUCGCCGUUUAAAGUGGUACGCGAGCUGGGUUUAGAACGUCGUGAGACAGUUCGGUCCCUAUCUGCCGUGGGCGCUGGAAGAUUGAGAGGGGUUGCUCCUAGUACGAGAGGACCGGAGUGAACGCACCGCUGGUGUUCGGGUUGUCAUGCCAAUGGCAUUGCCCGGUAGCUAAGUGCGGAAAAGAUAAGCGCUGAAAGCAUCUAAGCGCGAAACUUGCCUCGAGAUGAAUCUUCCCUGACUCCUUGAGAGUCCUGAAGGGACGUUGAAGACGACGACGUUGAUAGGCCGGAUGUGUAAGCGCAGCGAUGCGUUGAGCUAACCGGUACUAAUGACCCGUGAGGCUUAACCUUGCAACGCCAGAAGCGUUCUG
rnacentral:rRNA from 1 species